GACCCGGUAGCUCAGUUGGUAGAGCAGCGGACUUUUAAUCCGCAGGCCGCGGGUUCGAUCCCCGCCCGGGGCA
rnacentral:tRNA from 1 species